rnacentral:rRNA from 1 species
CACGAACGCUGGCGGCGUGGAUAAGACAUGCAAGUCGAACGGGACAGACCGAGUAGCAAUAUUUGGAAUGUUCAGUGGCGAACGGGUGCGUAACACGUGGAUAACAUUCCGGAAAGCGGGGAAUAGCCCAGGGAAACUUGGAUUAAUACCGCAUGUGGCCGCAAGGCUAAAGACGGGGACCGCAAGGCCUGUCACUUUCCGAUUGGUCCGCGGCCUAUCAGCUAGUUGGCGGGGUAAUGGCCCACCAAGGCUACGACGGGUAGCGGGUCUUAGAGGACGACCGGCCACAGUGGAACUGAGACACGGUCCAGACACCUACGGGUGGCAGCAGUCGAGAAUCUUUCACAAUGGGGGCAACCCUGAUGGAGCGACGCCGCGUGGAGGAUAAGGUCUUCGGAUUGUAAACUCCAGUCAUGCGAGAACAAGGUACUCAGGCUAAUAACCUGAUUGUUUGAUGGUGCCGCAAGAGGUAGAGACGGCUAACUCUGUGCCAGCCGCCGCGGUAACAC